CCAUUUCGCGGAAAAUAUUAUCCGUAAUCCCGCGAUCCACUCAUGCGCGUGUUAUUCACUCACCGAUGAUAUCAAUCCAACGGCUGUAUUAAAGGGCCAUUCAUCCCCACAAUCCUUUGUCCAUUUUUUGUUUUGAGGGAAAACGACGCGCAUUAAACAAGUGGGCUCAUGGAUUUUAGAAUUUUGAUAUUUUGGUGCAUGCAAUGCAUUAUCAUCAUCCAUCAUUUUC
rnacentral:lncRNA from 1 species